rnacentral:lncRNA from 1 species
GGACGAGACCACGCAGGAGAUGUUCCGCUACUUCGAGCCGCUCUACGAGGUGAUCCACGACAUGCCCCGGCCCCCCGAGUUCUUCUUCAAGAGGAAAGGGGACAGUGGAGAACAGCCAGAGGGCCCCGUCCAGGAUGUGCCAGGGAGCAGCCCGGCCCCGGAGUGCCCCGAGGAUGCCCUGCCCGGGGAGCAGCAGGGCGGGCAGCACGUGCCAGGAGGUGGGCUGGCUCCUGCCCCCGAGGGGCUUGAGGGCAGCCAGGUGACCAGUGACUCCGAGGGGGACAUGUACUGCGACACCCUGGAGCAGGGGGAACCCGAGAAGGCUGGGGGGCCGCAGGGCCUCACCCCAAAUGGCAUCCAGGCCGGGGCUGAGCCCCUGGAGCCCCGUGGUGCUGGGCAGGGGCUGUGGGGCGAAGGCAGAAGACCCGAGGGGAGCAGCAGCACUGACCUCGGAACCCUGGGCUCCCAGAGAGGUGGGUGCAGCCUUGGCCCCUUCCUGCUGCUCCCCCCUGCAGGCAAGGCUGGCCUGGGGGGCUCUGGGGGUGUGAG